UAGACUGUAGCUGGCUGGACUUUGACAGGUCUAGCAUGUGCACGUCCUCUCACCUACUUUUCUUUUUCUAUCACACACACCCGUGCACCUUUUGUAGAUCUCCUCUCCCUCUCGAAAGAGAAGGGUACGGAAUCUAUGUCUUCAUCCUAUCACACACAUCGUAUGGCCAGAAUGUAAACAAUAUAUAACAUAUACAACUUUCAGCAACGGAUCUCUUGGCUCUCGCAUCGAUGAAGAACGCAGCGAAUUGCGAUAAGUAAUGUGAAUUGCAGAUUUCCAGUGAAUCAUCGAAUCUUUGAACGCAUCUUGCGCUCCUUGGUAUUCCGAGGAGCAUGCCUGUUUGAGUGUCAUUUUAAUCAUCAACCAUUUCUCUUAUCCGAGAUAUGGAUUGGAGUUGGGGGUUGCUGGUGGCCUGACCGUCAGCUCCUCUUAAACGCAUUAGCGAUCGAGUCGACUAGUCUUUGACGUGCACGGCCUUGGACGUGAUAAUGAUCGUCCCGGCUGGAGCGUCUUUCCUAGACUAUGUACGAUGCUAGAUGGCUUCUAAUCACUAUGGAAAGCGAGCCAAGGCUCUCGGUCUGACAUGGAUAGGUCUAUCUAUUCAAGCUUAAGCUUAGCUACUAGGCAGUCGAAAGGCUGGCGAACGCAAGCAAGGGUAGGAG
rnacentral:rRNA from 1 species